AGGAAAACAAGAUCUGGUGUCUGGGUCCCAACUCAUAGAGCUUCCCAGCUUGUAGCUGUGCUCCUGAAGUUAUGUGUCCUUAUUUGAGGUUCAGGAAAUAUAAUCAUGUCAAGAAAGGAUACAGUUCAGCCCAUGUUCCUGAGUGCUGCGAGAGAGAGGAAGCAAUGGAGAGGAAAAUUUCUUCCAGUCUUCUCCAGCUCCAAACCAUGGGCCCAGGAUGAAAAUCUGUGGAACAAAGCAUCGGGAAUCCAGAAGAGGGACGAAGCAGAAAUUGACAAAAACCUGACACGGAGAAGGACUGUGCCUCAGAGCUACUUCCGUGGAAGAGUUGGCAAUAAUCAUAACUGCUAUGGACUGAUUGAGUGUCUACUGUGUUAGGAACUCUACUAAGCUCAAACUUAAUAUAACAGAUGCCAAGAAGGAAGUACAAGUCCAGGCUGUGUUGAUGGUGGUCCAAAGAUCUUCCCAACAUGGCCUAAAACCCAAGUCUUCUUCAGCUCCCACAGAACAAUUUCCCCCAAGAAAAAGGCUUAGAAGUGGAGGCUGCAUCAUCACAAAUUCCUUUCACUGGGAGACUGAUGAUUGGAUCCAACUUCUCACCCCAUACUUCAACUCUGGUAAAACUUGGAUUUUAGGGGAGAUGAUUUGACAGUAUUUCCCCACCCUUUUCAAUUAUAUACACCUUUGAACUUUUA
rnacentral:lncRNA from 1 species